rnacentral:rRNA from 1 species
AUGGAAACAUACACCACGGAUGAUGCGCUUACAGCCAUGGGAUUUGGAAAAUUGCAAGGACUUGUUCUUGUUUAUGCAGGCAUGGGUUGGGUUGCAGAAGCCAUGGAGGUCAUGCUACUGUCAUUUGUUGGACCACUGAUUCGAGAGGAAUGGAAAAUCUCUGCCCAAGAUGAAAGUUUACUCUCAAGUGUAGUGUUUUUGGGCAUGUUAAUUGGAGCAUGUGGUUGGGGAUAUGUGUCUGACAAAUAUGGGCGAAGGACUGGUUUACUGCUUUCAACUCUGUUUACUACUGGAAUGGGUUUCCUAAGUGCUUUGUCUCCAAACUAUUUAUGUUUGAUGGCUCUUCGCUUUCUCGUUGGCGUAGGACUGGGUGGCAGCCAUGUGUAUUCAUCUUGGUUUUUGGAGUUUGUUCCUGCGCAAAAUCGUGGCUUUUGGAUGAUUAUUUUUUCCUUUUUUUGGACUAUUGGCACAGUCUUGGAGGCUUCACUUGCAUGGAUUGUCGUAUCAACAUUGACUUGGAGGUGGUUGCUAGCAUUGACUGCCAUCCCUUGCUUUCUCUUGCUCCCUUUCUUUGGAAUUACACCUGAAUCGCCACGCUAUCUGUGUGCGCAAAAUAGAAUAUCUGAUGCAACACUUGUCCUGGAGAGAAUCGCCGAGACAAACCAAGCAACUCUUCCUCCUGGAGUUCUCGUAUACCCUCGAGACGGUGAAGUUGAUCAUAGUACUCUUACCUCUGAGGCAGAUCAUCUUCUUCCACUCAGAGAGAAGGAAUGCACAGAUGAUGAUGUCACAAGCCCCAAAUCUGGUAGUGCUGCUGCAUUGCGCAGUCUGCUGUCACGGAAAUUGCGUAGAUCAACUCUUCUACUUUGGUUUGUUUUCUACGCAAAUUCCUUUGCUUAUUAUGGACUAGUCUUGCUGACCGCGCAACUGAGCAAUGCAAAUAAAAGCUGUGCAUCUGGGCUGAAAUAUGUGAAGAGUGAAACAGAUGCCAGCCUUUACAAAGAUACAUUUGUCACUAGUCUUGCAGAGAUUCCGGGUCUAAUUGCAUCUGCUCUUCUUGUUGAAUGGUUUGGCCGAAAAGCUACAAUGUGGUGCUUGCUCUUCACAUGCUGUGGUUUCCUUGGCCCACUUGUGUUUUAUCAGAGUGAGCUAUGGACAACUGGCCUUCUAUUUGGUGCUCGUGCUUGUGCCAUGGGUAGCUACACAGUUGUAUGUUUAUAUGCCCCAGAGGUAUACCCGACGUCGGUGCGCUCGACCGGGGUUGGAAUCGCGACCGCCAUGGGGAGAGUCGGUGGAAUUAUUUGCCCCCUUGUAGCCGUUGGGAUGCUGAGAAGCUGCCAUCAGAUGGAAGCAAUCAUUGUGUUUGAGGUGGUGUUAUUCCUUGCUGCAAUUGCCUGCAUGCUCUUCCCUUUUGAGACCAAGGGCCGCGCAAUGAACUGA